rnacentral:rRNA from 1 species
ACUUUGCAACUCUAGAGAAGAGCCUUCCCCUUCGGGGGACAAAGUGACAGGUGGUGCAUGGUUGUCGUCAGCUCGUGUCGUGAGAUGUUGGGUUAAGUCCCGCAACGAGCGCAACCCUUAAGCUUAGUUGCCAUCAUUAAGUUGGGCACUCUAGGUUGACUGCCGGUGACAAACCGGAGGAAGGUGGGGAUGACGUCAAAUCAUCAUGCCCCUUAUGAUUUGGGCUACACACGUGCUACAAUGGACAAUACAAAGGGCAGCUAAACCGCGAGGUCAUGCAAAUCCCAUAAAGUUGUUCUCAGUUCGGAUUGUAGUCUGCAACUCGACUACAUGAAGCUGGAAUCGCUAGUAAUCGUAGAUCAGCAUGCUACGGUGAAUACGUUCCCGGGUCUUGUACACACCGAA